AUAUAGUGAAAGCGGUUUGAGAAAAGAAGCAAAAUGUUCGAGCCAACCUAUUUAUAUGGUGUGGAGAAUAUAAGGUUCUUGGCUUAUUGAUAUCAUCUGGUCAUUUUUAUAGGUGCCUGACUACAUAAUGAACUUUCUAGCUGUGUUGAUGACAACAAGAAGAAAAGCUUCUUUGACCAGGUUUGCUGACUUAAUUCAAGCUAUCCUGGUGGACUGACAUCAUACAUCCAGAAUGCCAAAAGGCUUUUGGUAGAUUGCAAGGCAGGAUAAAAUCCAUACGAUGGUUCCACGCCUUCAAGAACUCGGCAUUCAGACCUCGCUGGCGCUGGGCUAGAUGGGCUUGCUGGUAUUUUAUAGUCUGGUCAGA